CUCAGUAAAUAAAUAAUCAACAUAAUCUAUAUCACAUACACUUAAUACAAUUUCCACCCAAUCACAUAACUUUCCAUGAUAUUCAUAGUUUAGGUAUAAAGUCAUACCAUUCUACUCAAUUCAUUACAACCAUCAUAGAAGAAAUACAAUUCAACAAUUAUGGUUAGUUCUCACGGCUUGUGGAUCCCCUUUAAUGUGCUGCUCCGCCUCAUCCUCACAUAUCACACACGUAAAUUCAUAGUGCCCAUACCUUGUUCUGAAUGCUGUCUUGGCAAUAGAUUUCUCUUCAACCCGGAGUUGCCAAUAAUCUGAUCUUAAAUCAAUUUUAGAGAACACAGUUGCACCUUUUAACUGAUCAAGCAAAUCAUCAAUUCUCGGCAAUGGAUAUUUAUUCUUCACUGUAAUCCUAUUCAAUUGCCUAUAAUCAAUACAUAAUCACAUACUACCAUCCUUUUUCUUCACAAACAGAACCGGUGAUCCCCAAGGUGAAGUACUUGGCCUGAUGAAACCUUUAUCAAGUAACUCUUCUAAUUGCUUCUUUAAUUCUUUCAAUUCUAAUGGAGCCAUUUUGUAUGGUGCAAUGGAAAUAGGUGCCGUGCCAGGGAUGAUGUCAAUCUCAAAAUCAACCUCUCGAUUUGGUGGCAAACCAGGCAAAUCAUCUAAGAAUACGUUAGGAAAUUCUCUGACCACUGGAAUGUCUAAUACCCCUGGUCUGACCUUAGUAGUAUCUACAAAACUAAUUAGAUAUGCUUCACAUCCAUUUUUAACUAACUGACAUGCAGUCACUGCUGAAAUCAAACAAUUAGGAAUUGUCUUCCUUUCACCCACCAUUACUAUUUUCAUUUCUCCUUGUAUUUCCAUAGCCACUUCCUUCGUUUUACAAUCAACAAUAGCAUGAUUUCUUGACAACCAAUCCAUCCCCAAAAUAACAUCAAACUCUCUAAGAUUAAUAACAACCAGAUCUACAUGUAGUUUGACACUAUCUACUACUACAGGACAUGAUCUCACUAUCGUAUUUACUAUGAUAAUACCCCCAGCAGGCAUAGAUACAUAUAUAUCAUAAUCUAAUGCCUCUAUAUUAGCAUGAACAUGCGAUGUAAAAUCAUGUGAUAUGAAUGAACAUGUGGAUCCAGGAUCAAUAAGAACAUGUGCAUCAGAAUCAUGAAUAGAAAGUAUACCAGUAAUAAUUUCAGGUGCUACAAAUGCUUCAUUUCUAGUAGUAGCAAAUACUCUAGCUUGUGCUUGUGGUUGACCAAUCUUUUCUUAUGGUGUUUCUGAAAUAGGUAAACCUCCUCUACCACCUCUUCCUCUGCCUCUGCCUGAACCAACUGGAAUAUUUUCACCAACACUACUCUGACCCAUUGUAUAAGAUUCUCCAGCAUUAUUUCUUCUCAUAGGACAAUCUCUAGAAUAAUGUCCUGGCCUACUACAAGUGAAACAUACUACUGGUCUAGGUCCCCAACAUUCUCCAGUAUGUCUCCUGUUGCACGUAGGACAAACAGGAGCAAACCCUCUACUGGCCGAAACUUAUCCUCCCUCAAGUCUGGAUGAAUUGUAUCCACCUCUGCUAUAAGGUACUGUGGAGGAUCUACUAGACUGACCACCAAACCCUCAUCCACGAUAACUACUCCUCUGUGAAUUAGAGCCUCUGAACGAAGAAAUACUAGUCUAUCUUGGAGGAUUACUAUAAGUACCAAUGAUCUUCUUCUUUUUAGCUUCCAUAGUAUUCCUUUCAAAUGAUGUUUCUUCAGCUCUCAAAGCAGCUUCAAUUGAGGCAAUGUAAUUCUGAGGUUUCACUACCAUUUUCUCAUGAAUGUCAAGCCUCAAACCCAUCUCAAAUUUCUUCCUUUUUAGUUCUUCAGUGGCUAUUUCUUAUGGUGCAUACUUAGAUAAUCUCACAAAUUGAACUUCAUACUCUGCAACUGACAUAUCAUUCUGCUUCAACUGAAGAAAUUCAAGCUUUUUUCUGUCUCUAUAAAUUUUUGAAGUAUACUUCUCAGCAAAUUCUCUCAAGAAAUCAUUCCAAGUCAAAGUCAUUGGUCGAUCUUUGCUUCUUAAAACUGUUUCCCACCAAUCAAGUGCAUCUUUUUCUAUUAAAGACACUGCAUAUAGAAGCCUUUGUUCAGAUGUGCAAUUAAAUCUGUCCAACACUCUUUCCGUAUUUCGUAACCAUUCCUCAGCCUCAGCAGGAUCAGUAGUACCCUGAAAAACAUUAGCACCUUGUUUCCUAACCCUUUCAUAAUUUUUAUCUAUCACAGCCUCUUGUUGUUGAGUCUGAGGCGUCGGUGCUUGUUGUCGAGCUACCCGUUGCAUUAGAAAAUCCAUAAACUGUUCCAUAACAUUUUGUACAUUCGAUUGUGCAGCAUUUUCAGAAUGUAGCUCAUGCUCAUCAUAUUGAUCAUGUUCAGAUGCAUUUUCAUGACCAUGCACAGACUCUAAUGACUUAUUUGGGCCAGUUGCGUGUUCUCCUUGUCUCUCCAUCUAUAUAUAUGAAAUGCAAAUACUCAGCCAAGUUCAAAGAACAUAUUUCAUAUGCUUAAUGAUGUGCAACAUGAAUCUAAUCCCUACUCUGAUACUACUAAAUGUAACACCCCCAUUACAUGCUAACCAAUAGACAUUAGCCAGAAAACAUACAAGCGUCGUAGACUAUAUACUACAUGUAGAUAGGUCAAUGCAGAUUGUUAAGAAUCAAGACACAAGGUUAUUAACAUAUAAACAUAUGAUUAUACUUAAACAUCAUUUAACAAGUAUUCAAAACAUCUUCUUAUGCCUUACAAGGCACACUUCUAUAUACAUCACAUAACUGCAUACAAAAUGCAUCAGGAGGAGACUCCACAAAACUGGCCCAACCUGACAGAACUGCUAAAAGCUAGACUUCGGAUACAACCAACGGAUGCACUACUAUUUACAAACCUGAAAAGAAAAAUUUUGGAGAGGGGUGAGCCUCCAGCUCAGUAAAUAAAUAAUCAACAUAAUCUAUAUCACAUACACUUAAUACAAUUUCCACCCAAUCACAUAACUUACCAUGAUUCAUAGUUUAGGUAUAAAUUCAUACCAUUCUACUCAAUUCAGUACAACCAUCAUAGAAGAAAUACAAUUCAACAAUUAUGGUUAGUUCUCACGACUUGUGGAUCCCCUUUAAUGUGCU
rnacentral:lncRNA from 1 species